AGAGUUUGAUCCUGGCUCAGGAUGAACGCUGGCGGCGUGCCUAAUACAUGCAAGUCGAACGAGUUCUCGUUGAUGAUCGGUGCUUGCACCGAGAUUCAACAUGGAACGAGUGGCGGACGGGUGAGUAACACGUGGGUAACCUGCCCUUAAGUGGGGGAUAACAUUUGGAAACAGAUGCUAAUACCGCAUAGAUCCAAGAACCGCAUGGUUCUUGGCUGAAAGAUGGCGUAAGCUAUCGCUUUUGGAUGGACCCGCGGCGUAUUAGCUAGUUGGUGAGGUAAUGGCUCACCAAGGCGAUGAUACGUAGCCGAACUGAGAGGUUGAUCGGCCACAUUGGGACUGAGACACGGCCCAAACUCCUACGGGAGGCAGCAGUAGGGAAUCUUCCACAAUGGACGCAAGUCUGAUGGAGCAACGCCGCGUGAGUGAAGAAGGCUUUCGGGUCGUAAAACUCUGUUGUUGGAGAAGAAUGGUCGGCAGAGUAACUGUUGUCGGCGUGACGGUAUCCAACCAGAAAGCCACGGCUAACUACGUGCCAGCAGCCGCGGUAAUACGUAGGUGGCAAGCGUUAUCCGGAUUUAUUGGGCGUAAAGCGAGCGCAGGCGGUUUUUUAAGUCUGAUGUGAAAGCCCUCGGCUUAACCGAGGAAGCGCAUCGGAAACUGGGAAACUUGAGUGCAGAAGAGGACAGUGGAACUCCAUGUGUAGCGGUGAAAUGCGUAGAUAUAUGGAAGAACACCAGUGGCGAAGGCGGCUGUCUGGUCUGUAACUGACGCUGAGGCUCGAAAGCAUGGGUAGCGAACAGGAUUAGAUACCCUGGUAGUCCAUGCCGUAAACGAUGAAUGCUAGGUGUUGGAGGGUUUCCGCCCUUCAGUGCCGCAGCUAACGCAUUAAGCAUUCCGCCUGGGGAGUACGACCGCAAGGUUGAAACUCAAAGGAAUUGACGGGGGCCCGCACAAGCGGUGGAGCAUGUGGUUUAAUUCGAAGCAACGCGAAGAACCUUACCAGGUCUUGACAUCUUUUGAUCACCUGAGAGAUCAGGCUUCCCCUUCGGGGGCAAAAUGACAGGUGGUGCAUGGUUGUCGUCAGCUCGUGUCGUGAGAUGUUGGGUUAAGUCCCGCAACGAGCGCAACCCUUAUGACUAGUUGCCAGCAUUUAGUUGGGCACUCUAGUAAGACUGCCGGUGACAAACCGGAGGAAGGUGGGGAUGACGUCAAAUCAUCAUGCCCCUUAUGACCUGGGCUACACACGUGCUACAAUGGAUGGUACAACGAGUUGCGAGACCGCGAGGUCAAGCUAAUCUCUUAAAGCCAUUCUCAGUUCGGACUGUAGGCUGCAACUCGCCUACACGAAGUCGGAAUCGCUAGUAAUCGCGGAUCAGCACGCCGCGGUGAAUACGUUCCCGGGCCUUGUACACACCGCCCGUCACACCAUGAGAGUUUGUAACACCCGAAGCCGGUGGCGUAACCCUUUUAGGGAGCGAGCCGUCUAAGGAGGGACAAAUGAUUAGGGUG
rnacentral:rRNA from 2 species